GGAGUUGGCUCUCUUGACACUAAAUAUAAAUAACUAUUAUUGUUUACAGUUUUGACAAUUCGAACGAGAGAGAUUUAGAUCUGAAAAAGAUAAUAUAAAAAGCUAGGAGAUAUUUUUACAAAUGCAAGAUAGAUUAUAAAGUAAAAUUGUUUAUGUCUACAUUUAAAGAGAGGUUAUAUUAAUUGAUUUAUUUCAAUAUAUAUAUACAAUGACACGUGUAUGCAUCUGUUGCAAAUAUCGUGUAAUUCAAACACAUGUCACGACAGACAUAUCGCUUUACGGGUUACCAAAAAAUGACGAAUUACUGAAGAAAUGGUUGCUUGCGAUCGGCAAAACGGAGAGGAAAAUCUGCGAAUCGUCGCGAAUAUGUUCACGUCAUUUUAAGGAAGACGACUUCAGAUACAGCAUAGUCGGAGGCAAACGUUUUUUAAAGCGAGGUGCGAUACCGUCUCUUCAUUUGAAUGAGGAGAGCAAGGAUGAUCGGUUUUCUGACACUGGAGACGUGGUGGAAACUAUGGACAACAAAUCGUUAAAUAUUGCAAUAUUGCAAGUAGAUGCUAGAAAAAAUAAUCAAUUGUCGAGUAUCAUUGGAAUGAAGGUGAUCGCUGAGGAUACAUGCGAGAAUACUGAAUUUGUCGCUCACGAAUGCGAUGGUAAAACACAAGUGCCUGAAAGAAUAUCAGCUUCUUCGUUAGACUCUUCUUCUUCAAAUGAGCCGGAGAAGAAACAUAAGAAACAUUUAUAUGAUGUUCGAUGGGAAGAGAUUUCUACAUCUCCGGUGCAAGCUAAAAUUUAUUGGGAAGUGGCAAUUAAAAGAAUUACACGGCAAAAGACGGCCGUUGUCGAGGACGAGCCCAUGGGGAGCUCUCACUGUUUUGUAGCGGACCAUUUGCCACUCACCCUUUGGACAUUUGUUACGAGUUGUUGGGCGCUUCGAUUGCUAUCACCUUUUGGAUUAUUUGGAGACGGAUCCUGCAACAAAGUGGCUGUUGCGACAAUAGGGAAAUCGAAAACUUUUGCACGCACCCUCGAAUUCAGGAUGCUAAUUGGUGGGUGGUUAGCUCGUAGCCACCAGCAAGUUUUCCAAGAUUUAUGAGCGCUGUGGCUAAAGGCGUGAAUAAGCCCGGGUCACAGUCGGUAGGAAGGGUAACGCAAGAUUUUGAAUUAAAUGUCAACCGCACGGAUGAGACACGAAACUAACAUCGUCUAGCCGCGAUGUCUGGGAAUAACGACACUGCCAGCAACUUCGCGCAUUAUUUCCAUCCGUUGGUGAUUCAUGAAUUGAUAGAUUCGGAAAUCUAGACAUAAAAAUAGAACAAGGGUUGUCUACGAAAUAUGGAGAGAUUUUGAGAUUCGCCGAUUUAC